rnacentral:rRNA from 1 species
AGACGAACCGGACAAACGUUAUUCGGAAUCAUUGGGCUUAAAGGGUGCGUAGGCGGUGCGGAAAGUUGGGUGUGAAAUCCCUCGGCUCAACCGAGGAACUGCGCUCAAAACUUCCGUGCUAGGGUGAGACAGAGGUGAGCGGAACUGAUGGUGGAGCGGUGAAAUGCGUUGAUAUCAUCAGGAACACCGGUGGCGAAGGCGGCUCACUGGGUCUCUACUGACGCUGAGGCACGAAAGCUUAGGUAGCGAACAGGAUUAGAAACCCCGGUAGUCC